rnacentral:rRNA from 1 species
CGGUGUUUAACUGGCGUGAUGUGGGACGUCCUACCGGUGGGCUUAGCCUCGCGAGGGGCGGCCCAACUAAUAUCCCGUCGCGGUGCUCUUUACUGAGUGUCGAGUCGGGCCGGUACGUUUACUUUGAACAAAUUAGAGUGCUUAAAGCAGGCUAUCCUCGCCUGAAUACUGCGUGCAUGGAAUAAUGGAAUAGGACCUCGAUUCUAUUUUGUUGGUUUUCGGAACCCCGAGGUAAUGAUUAAUAGGGACAGAUGGGGGCAUUCGUAUUGCGACGUUAGAGGUGAAAUUCUUGGAUCGUCGCAAGACGGACAGAAGCGAAAGCAUUUGCCAAAAAUGUUUUCAUUAAUCAAGAACGAAAGUUAGAGGUUCGAAGGCGAUCAGAUACCGCCCUAGUUCUAACCAUAAACGAUGCCAGCUAGCGAUCCGCCGAAGUUCCUCCGAUGACUCGGCGGGCAGCUUCCGGGAAACCAAAGCUUUUGGGUUCCGGGGGAAGUAUGGUUGCAAAGCUGAAACUUAAAGGAAUUGACGGAAGGGCACCACCAGGAGUGGAGCCUGCGGCUUAAUUUGACUCAACACGGGAAACCUCACCAGGCCCAGACACCGGAAGGAUUGACAGAUUGAUAGCUCUUUCUUGAUUCGGUGGGUGGUGGUGCAUGGCCGUUCUUAGUUGGUGGAGCGAUUUGUCUGGUUAAUUCCGAUAACGAACGAGACUCUAGCCUGCUAAAUAGGCGUACCUUAUGGUAUCGCGAAGGCCCCCGGCUUCGGCCGGUGGGUUUUUACUACCAACGUACAAACAAAUCUUCUUAGAGGGACAGGCGG